UGCACAUCCUAUUUUCAAAAA
rnacentral:piRNA from 1 species